rnacentral:antisense_RNA from 1 species
CUUCAACGACCCCAGCCACAGCGGCUGACCCUCCGGCCGCUCCUGCCCGUAGGUGGCCAGGAGCGCCUGGGCCUC